CGGGCACGCCCCCGCCGCGUGACGCGCCGGUCCCGCGUGGCGAUUGGCUGAGAGCGGUCACGUGCGCGGGACGCGGGGCGGGGGCGGGGCCGCGGUUGCCGGGGCGACACCGGCGGCGGCUGAGGGGAGAUUGGGACAGCUGUAUCAGCGAUGAGAAGUAGCAGCAGCCCUUAGCAAUGGGUGAUGUUUUAGCGUAUGAAGCUGAGUUGCUUGGACUAGUGAAAGAGUAUUUGGAUUUUGCUGGAUUUCAAGAAACAGUGAAAGUAUUUAAAAAGGAAUGUAAAAUAAAAGGGAAGCCACUACCUAAACCAGCAGAUGUUCCCUCAGAAGAUUCAUUGCCUGUUCAGGAAGAAAUGCUUACAGCAUUUGAAGAUGGUGAUCAGAAAGUUUUCUUCCACCUCUGGGAGGAGCAUAUUUUAUCUUCAGUCCAUGACAGUGAUCCAGUUGCUCAGAACCUGGAGUUCUAUCUCCACAUCUACUUUGCCACCUUCCUCUUGAAACAAACUAUGGGAAAGCCUGACAAGGCUGAACUUGACGAAAGGAUUUCUUAUUUCAAGGCAUACCUGGAAACAAAAGGAGCUGCACUGAGCCAGACCACAGAGUUUCUUCCCUUCUAUGCUUUGCCCUUUGUUCCAAACCCCAUGGUACAUCCUUCAUUUAAAGAACUUUUCCAGGAUUCUUGGACACUGGAUUUAAGGACAAGAUUGGAAACAUUCCUGUCGCUGGCUCUUAAAGCCAGACAGACUCCUCGGCUUCUCACUAUAUUUAAGGAGAGUGGACAGUGCAACAAAGAAAUGAUGCAACAUCUUCAUCAGCAGUUAGUGAAGCGUGAGCACAGGUACAUGACCAACCUGAAACGAUUGCGCAAGUUGCAGAUGGACUACCGUGGUCUCCUUGAAGUCACUGCAGAGCUGGUGGAUUCUUUGGAGGCCACAGUCACUGGCAAGAUGAUUACACCAGAGUAUAUUCAAAGUGUUUGUGCUUGCUUGUUUAACAAUCAUUUGAAACAAACUGUAGCACACAACAUUGACUUCACAAGGCCUGGAACUGGAUAUUACUCUAUGAGCCCUUGUGAUGACGGAUAUGCUUCCACACUGUUAAGGGCAUCUUUAUCCUCCAUGAAGGUGCAGGAUGUGCCAUUGCUGCCCUCUCUGGAUUAUGAGAAGCUGAAGAAAGAUUUGAUUACAGGGAGUGAUCGUCUCAAGGCCCUCCUACUGCAGGCUCUGCGCUGGCGCUUGACAACAUCAUAUCCUGGGGAACAGAGAGACACAAUCAUGCAAGCCUACAUCAGUAAUGACCUCCUAGAUUGCCACAGCAACUGUCAGAGAAGUGUCCUCCAAUUGCUAUAUUCUAAGAGUGAGGUAGUGAGACAGUAUAUGGCAAGGCUCAUCAAUGCUUUUGCUUCACUGAUAGAAGGUCGUGCCUACCUUUCUCAGAACCUAACAUUGCUGCAAAUGCUGGAGGACAGACUGAAAGCUGAAGACAAGGAUUCCCUUACAUGGGAGAAUGUUCUGGGGGCUCUGCAGAAAUUCAGCCUCAGGCGCACACUGCAGUCAGCAAUGAUCAAAGAUGGGCUCAUUUUCUGGCUGGUUGAUGUUCUGAUAGACCCAGAUUGCCUGUCUGAUUACAACCUGGAGUAUUGUGCUGCCUUGCUCAUGAAUCUUUGUCUGAGGAGUGCAGGGAAGAAAAUAUGUGCAAGUAUCCCAAACCCCAUGCUCAGAGUUCUUUCUGGUCUUCUUGACCAUGAGAAUCCUAAGGUCCAGUCAUAUGUGAAUGGAGUGCUGUACAGUAUUCUGGCCAUCCCUUCUGUCCGAGAAGAAGCCAAAGAAAUGGGAAUGGAAGAAAUUCUACGCUGCUUCAUCAAGGAAAGAAAUGAAGAGAUGGUUCGACAGAUGGAAUUUGUUAUCAAGCAACUCAAUUCAGAAGAGCCAUUCAAUGAUAGUAUUGUGUCUGAUGAUGAUGAGGAAGAGGAGUAUGAGGAAGAGGACAAUGACAUCCUGGAGCCUGAUCUGGACAAAGAUGAGGUUUUGCUGCCUCAGCUGGGGGAGCUUUCAGGAGAGAAGCUGCUGACAACUGAGUACUUGGGAAUAAUGACUCACACUCCAAAAACUAAGAAGAAGCAAUUUGCUGGUGUCCAGCAGAGUAUAGAUGAGCCUCUCCAGAGACCUGUGACACCAGGUUAUCACAGAACUGCAUAUCUAAUGCCAGAAAAUGGUACCAGUUCCUGUCACGACAGGGAUGAGAAGCUGCAGUCUCCAGCGAGUGGCCCUUCCUCCACCUGUGGUGGGAGACAGUCCAGCAUUUCUGACUUCUGCAUUUCCCCCUCAUCAGUUGAAAUGAAGUCAUCUGAAGUAUUUGCAUCAGGUCGUAGAAUGGACCAACACAUCCCAGCUGGUGAUACCUUAUCUUCUCAAUCUGCUGACUUCACUGAGAGCAAAGUAAAUGGUCAAUCACACAGUGACUUUGCCCUAGCCUUCACCAGCAAACCGAAGAUUCCUCGCACUCCUGACGGCCAGAGCAGCAGCCCUAGGAAGGGAAAGGUCCCUGCCAUUGCCCCCCAGUUCUCUCAGUCUGGACCCCAACAAUCAAGCCAUCCAAGCUCCUCAGGAUCUGCAAGGAGCAGACAGACUACUUACUACAGAGUCAGAAAAUGAAAUGAAGAUAAUUUGAAUAACCCAGUAAACGAGCUGGAAAGAGCAUUCUGAGCCUUGUGUGUUGCUCAUUCAUCGUUCCACACAGUUGCACAUGCAGAGAAGUGCUGUGGUUUCGUUCAGGGAGUACAGUAUUUGUUACAGGUGUGUUUUCUGGAAACAAGUUGAUUUUAUGUAAACCUACCUGAACUAGCUGGACCGCUCCUCUUGGAGCAUGGAGUGUGUGGAAUGCCUGAGGAAUGCAGAGGAAGCCCAGGCAGCCAGUCCUACAGGAAGUGAGAACAGUUCCUUUCCUCGAGAAUCACCUGUCACAUUGUUGAAGGACAGAGCCAGCUUCCUGUAAUGAGCUUUCCUGGUGACCUGCAGAGGAGAGUGAGGUUGUUGACACUGCGGGCCUUGCACAGGGAUUGGGGAUUAUCUGAUGGGAUGUGUCUGUGGGCUCUAAAACUAGCUAAGACAAGGGCCUUGUUAUUAGAAUUCGAGGUCUCAGCAGCAGCCCAGGACUGACAUGGGAGAUGGAUAUUUUCUGGUUGUUUACUCUAAAGUGACAUUGCCACCUCGAGAAGAAACUCUUGCUCUCUGCUUCUGUGUCAGUGUAAAUGGCCUUUGGAAACAGAAUGUAGGCUCAGCCCAGGAGUCUUACCAAGAAACUGUAUUUUUUACUUAUUGCUUGCUGAAGCAGCCUGCCAAUUGCUUUUUUAAAAUUCUGCCUGUGUGACUGGGUUGGGAGGUAUCUGUGUUCAAAGGAUCUGCAUGAAGAGGGACAGUGUCUGCCACAUGUGCAGAGCCUCCCAGCCCAGAGCAGUCCUGUGUGGGGUGAGAUCUUCCUGACCCUGAAGAGGAGGUAUUUUAUCAAAAUCUGGUUGACCUGUAGCAGAUGGAAAACACUGUUACAGUGCCCAAGGCAGCAUCCAUGCUCACCUCUGAGGUCUUUAUCUGCAGCAAUUACUCCUAUUACUUGUUUCUGCAUUUUUUGUUAAUUCUACUGUUUAACAUCUGUGGAAUGAAAAAUCUCUUUUUCUUUUUUCUUUUUUUUUUUUCCUGGAAUGAAGAGCUUUGCUUCUUCUUUCAUAGAAGAAACCAUGAGAAUGUGAGCAGAUUAGAAGCAGCUUUCUCUUUACAUGUAACUGUGCUCCAUCUUCUUUGGUGUUUGUUGUUUUUUUAUGUUCUUUGCUUCAGAGCAAUGACUGUUUAUGUCUUUAUGGAAUUUGUGCUGUCUUUGGUGCAUGUGAAGUGCUGGCUAGGCAAGAGAUAUCAGGAAUCCUUCCACUGAAUAAAAAGCAGCAGUUAGUUCUGCCAGUGAAUUACAAAGCUGGUGCUGUUUGUUGUUCUUUCUCUCAACAUAACAGUGACCAGGAAACACUGAAGUCUUCACUGGGGGUUGACUUUUCAGUAACACCCUUCAUGUGACAGCUGCUAGGACACAUAAGUGCAGUUUACACUGGGAUUUGGCUGCUGCUGAGGCAGAGAUGUACAAAAAGCUGACAGUGUAUUUGCCAGAGUCUGACUUCAGAAACAAAUGUUUGAAUGAGUAUGAAAACGGGGAAGGUAAGGCUUUGGUUUUGGAGAGCAAACAAGUGGAACACAGCCUGAAAGGUAAAGCAACUGCUGUAGUGACAGUGCCUUCCCCUAAAGUAAAGAGUUGUAAAGCCAUUGCUGUAGAGGCAGAAGAAAGCUUUGUGCUUCUGACAAGAUGUGGAAUUGGGCCUCUUGCUCUGUGGUGGCAGCUCAAGAGCCAAGGCCCCUGAUAUUGUUCCUUCAGACCCACUGAGAUCAGUGAUGCUGUGUUAAAUGUUGGCAGAAAGGGCUCCCACACACAACUUCAGGAAACCCCUUUGGACAGAGUUUAAAUCAGAAUGGAAGUGUUUUGUAGGAGUCAAGACCUCCUGUAGCUUAAAAUCCAGUGAAUUAAUGUGGAAGUUACCAUUUACUACUCAAAAACACGAACCUAACACCAAGCAGGCAGAGUAUUGGGUGUUGCUUUAGCUCCCAAACUACUCAGGACAUGGAGUGACUACAGACACUUGCUGGCCUCUGUCACACAGAUCCCCAUGCCAGACAAAGGAGCCACAGAAAAUCUCUGACUUGUGCUCAGAUUCAUCUGCCUCCUCUCAGAGCUGAUAAACACAACUAAUGGGAAAAUGUCCUCUGGUUCCCAAAAAGGCAGGAAUGGAAAACAGCCAUAAAAGUUCACCUCGAGGCUUUCCAGGGUAGGCAGAAUUUCCUCUGAAAUUGUUUUUUUUCCAGCACUGUAACAUCAACAGCCAGUUGUGAAUGAAGUGCUAAGCAGGUCAUUUGCAUACAUGAAUAACAGAAUGCUCCAGUAGCUGAGUUUUAUUUAUCUGACAGCUGUGCUGUGUUUCAUGUUGGAUCUAUGCUAUGUUCAUCCUAAAUCUGAUUGUGUAAGAUGGAGAGCAGCUUUUGAAAAAUGUUGAGAGCAGACUAAUUUUUUUUUUUUUUGAUGGGGAGCAACAACCCCAAAACCUCACUGAUUUUAUGAGUUGAGGUAAAACUUCACCACCCCUUGCCAGACACCCCAAGGUGUUUGGUAGGUGUGGCAGCUGCUCCAGCAGAUCAAGAUUCAUGAAAACCAAAAUGCAUUUUGCUGAGUUGAACUGAAAGGAACCAACUGAAGUGUGUGUGCUUCUUGCUCAGGCUUGUUGCAGUGCAGAACUCUAUCUGUAUAUUUUCCCAUGUUCUCUUAGCUGUGUAUGGAGUCUGAAAUCCAUGACUAUUUUUAUAUUAAUGCAUGAGAAACCUAAUUUUCCAAAUACCUGAGAGAAACUGUUGAUGUGCUUAGAAAUAAGUUAUCAGCUGAACAGUAAUUUGAGAGGCUGAGGAAGUAACAUGUCCUCCUUUCCUCUGUCUUCACAAAAAAGCCCCUGUGAUGGCAGUCAGGAGAUUUGAAGCUAAUAAAAAAUGUCAAUUCUGCCUUUGUUCAUGGGUCUCCACUCUUUGGGGUGGAAGGGUCCCUGAAUGGAGGUCAGUAGCACACACAUAGCAAAUUCAGCACCUCACUCUGAAAAGUUGUUGGGUGUCUUUUGCAUGUGCCACAAAGAGGAAGCUGCUAGAUUCAGCACCCUCCUGGGGAAUUCAUAACAGGAGCAGUGGAAAUUGCUGCCCCGGUGGGAGGGGUGUGAUUGCACUUAGAGUGGCUGUAAUUUCUUUCACCAAGAGCAAAUAAAAUUAUUGCAAACGACACACGGAUCUGCAAGGAAAGUUUUUCCGGGACCAAAGUCCUAAGUGGUGCUACCAUGUGUUUUGGAUGUAACUACUGUACCUUCAGUGUCAUUUUGUUUAUGCAGAGUGUUAUUUAAGCCUACUGAAGUUUGCAUAGAGGGCUCAUUCUGUACGAGUGCUUUAAAAUUAUCUUUCCAUGACUAAAUAAAAAUGCUCCUAAAGUGUU